UACGUAGGGGGCAAGCGUUGUCCGGAUUUAUUGGGCGUAAAGAGCGUGUAGGCGGCCUGGCAAGUCCGCUGUGAAAACUCGAGGCUUAACCUCGAGACGUCGGUGGAAACUGCCUGGCUAGAGUCCGGAAGAGGAGAGUGGAAUUCCACGUGUAGCAGUGAAAUGCGUAGAGAUGUGGAGGAACACCGAUGGCGAAGGCAGCCCCCUGGGUUAACACUGACGCUCAGGCACGAAAGCGUGGGGAGCAAACAGG
rnacentral:rRNA from 1 species